rnacentral:sRNA from 1 species
CCGUAGCCAUUUUGACGCAAG